rnacentral:lncRNA from 1 species
CCACAUUCCCUACCUACCUUUCUCCUCUCAUUAGUCCCUCUAUUCCCUUGGACAAUUUCACUUCUCUUCAUACCAUUCAUAUAUAUGUAUUUGUAUGUAUGUGUGUAUAUAUAUAUACAUAUAUAUACAUAUAUAUAUGAUUUUUAUUUACCUAUAUUGUUAGUGUACAGGCAAUUGUUAGUUGUACAGUGAUUCAGUUGGCCUGCUCUCAGGGACCUAGCAAAGGCUUAGUUAUCACCCGCCCACACUGUCUUUUUUCUAAUAUAUAUUUUUUGUUUGCAUCUUUGUCAAAAGUCCCAUGACUUUGCCUGUGUGGAUUAGUGUUGUGGAUAGCCCUGGGGCUAAUAAUAUUUGAUGUUAAUUCUGUUCUCCUAUGAGGGGUUGUGAACAAGGAAUGAGUCAACACUCAGGUGAUUUCCUGUAAACCUGCUUCCCACCUUAAUUUGUAAAAUAAAGGAGAGCUGAUGAUUGGGCAGAUAAAGGGAAGGUGGAGUGGAAGGUGAGAGAGAAGAAGGAAAAAAUGGAAGAGGGAGAGGAUGCAGAGGAGGAGGAGGAAGAAGAAAAGCAGAACAGAAGCACAUAGCCUGGAAAAACCACAAUUAUAAGGGGUCUCAUAGAUGUGGUAGGUGGUAGUGUAGCAGUAGAUCUGCCCAAUCUAGGUGCACAGUAUGUAUUCAUAUUAACUGAGUUGUGUUUUCACUGCUGGGGUAUAUUUGGGUUGGAGAUUUACUGUAACAGGUUAGUGUCUGGGCCUCUAUUCUAUUUACCUGUGCUUCUUAUUUCGUUCUUGUUGAUGCCAUUACUAUGUCUCCGUAAUAUAAUUUCAAAUCAUGUUGAUGAUACCCCCAGCAUUGCUCUUUGGUCAAGAUUAUUCUUUAGCUAUCUGGAAUCUCUUGUGUCCUCAAGGUGUGUGUGUGUGUGUGCGUGUGUGUGUGUGUGUGUGUGUGUGUGUGUGUGUGUGUGUAUGGUGUGUACAUGUGAAUUCAGUGCCUGUGGAGGACAGAAGGACAGCUGGAAUUACAGUUUGUUGUGGGCUCCCAGGUGUGGUUGCUGGGUUGCAAGCUCCAGUUCUCUAGAAGAGCAGUAUAUGAUCCUAAUUCCUGCACCAGUUCUCCAACACAGCU